rnacentral:rRNA from 1 species
UUAUCCGGAUUUAUUGGGUUUAAAGGGAGCGUAGGCGGACGCUUAAGUCAGUUGUGAAAGUUUGCGGCUCAACCGUAAAAUUGCAGUUGAUACUGGGUGUCUUGAGUACAGUAGAGGCAGGCGGAAUUCGUGGUGUAGCGGUGAAAUGCUUAGAUAUCACGAAGAACUCCGAUUGCGAAGGCAGCUUGCUGGACUGUAACUGACGCUGAUGCUCGAAAGUGUGGGUAUCAAACAGGAUUAGAUACCCUGGUAGUCCACACAGUAAACGAUGAAUACUCGCUGUUUGCGAUAUACAGUAAGCGGCCAAGCGAAAGCGUUAAGUAUUCCACCUGGGGAGUACGCCGGCAACGGUGAAACUCAAAGGAAUUGACGGGGGCCCGCACAAGCGGAGGAACAUGUGGUUUAA